rnacentral:rRNA from 1 species
ACGGGUGAGUAACGCGUGGGAAUCUACCCAUCUCUACGGAAUAACGCAUGGAAACGUGUGCUAAUACCGUAUACGUCCUUCGGGAGAAAGAUUUAUCGGAGAUGGAUGAGCCCGCGUUGGAUUAGCUAGUUGGUGGGGUAAAGGCCUACCAAGGCGACGAUCCAUAGCUGGUCUGAGAGGAUGAUCAGCCACACUGGGACUGAGACACGGCCCAGACUCCUACGGGAGGCAGCAGUGGGGAAUAUUGGACAAUGGGCGCAAGCCGGAUCCAGCCAUGCCGCGUGAGUGAUGAAGGCCCUAGGGUUGUAAAGCUCUUUCACCGGUGAAGAUAAUGACGGUAACCGGAGAAGAAGCCCCGGCUAACUUCGUGCCAGCAGCCGCGGUAAUACGAAGGGGGCUAGCGUUGUUCGGAUUUACUGGGCGUAAAGCGCACGUAGGCGGACUAUUAAGUCAGGGGUGAAAUCCCGGGGCUCAACCCCGGAACUGCCUUUGAUACUGGUAGUCUUGAGUUCGAGAGGGGUGAGUGGAAUUCCGAGUGUAGAGGUGAAAUUCGUAGA